CUCAGGACGAACGCUGGCGGCGUGCCUAAUACAUGCAAGUCGAACGCUUCUUUUUCCACCGGAGCUUGCUCCACCGGAAAAAGAGGAGUGGCGAACGGGUGAGUAACACGUGGGUAACCUGCCCAUCAGAAGGGGAUAACACUUGGAAACAGGUGCUAAUACCGUAUAACAAUCRAAACCGCAUGGUUUUGAUUUGAAAGGCGCUUUCGGGUGUCGCUGAUGGAUGGACCCGCGGUGCAUUAGCUAGUUGGUGAGGUAACGGCUCACCAAGGCCACGAUGCAUAGCCGACCUGAGAGGGUGAUCGGCCACAUUGGGACUGAGACACGGCCCAAACUCCUACGGGAGGCAGCAGUAGGGAAUCUUCGGCAAUGGACGAAAGUCUGACCGAGCAACGCCGCGUGAGUGAAGAAGGUUUUCGGAUCGUAAAACUCUGUUGUUAGAGAAGAACAAGGAUGAGAGUAACUGUUCAUCCCUUGACGGUAUCUAACCAGAAAGCCACGGCUAACUACGUGCCAGCAGCCGCGGUAAUACGUAGGUGGCAAGCGUUGUCCGGAUUUAUUGGGCGUAAAGCGAGCGCAGGCGGUUUCUUAAGUCUGAUGUGAAAGCCCCCGGCUCAACCGGGGAGGGUCAUUGGAAACUGGGAGACUUGAGUGCAGAAGAGGAGAGUGGAAUUCCAUGUGUAGCGGUGAAAUGCGUAGAUAUAUGGAGGAACACCAGUGGCGAAGGCGGCUCUCUGGUCUGUAACUGACGCUGAGGCUCGAAAGCGUGGGGAGCAAACAGGAUUAGAUACCCUG
rnacentral:rRNA from 1 species